UAGGGCAGACGAUGAAGACGAAGACCCGCCAUGGAAUUUCCUUGUCUGUACCUCCCGAUUCCAUUUAUCUACAUCUUCCAAGAUCCAAAAAUCUGUGACGAAGAAGAAAAUACUUAGUUUCUCAUGAGGAAGAUUCGCUGACGUCUGGAGAACUGCCCGAACAGGCAAAAGGGAAGCUUCGUCCGCCUGAAAAAAAAUUAUGUUACCUGCAGCUUGAGAGGCCUCAUCGGAGCCGGCGUUGAGAAAAGAUAGAUAAUUGGGCGGCUUCCCUGCCGUGGAUGGGGGCGAGACGGCGGGGGUCAACGACCCAGUUGAGCUCACCCCCUCUCCAUCUCCUCCUCUGAUCAGCAUAAUUUCAUGCCUAAUCUCCACGUCGCUGUCCGAGAAAGCCCCCGCCGUCCGGACAUCCCCCAUGCAUCGUCGUGAUGUAAUUAAACGGCGGCUCCGCCACGCGUGGGCGAAUUCAACACUCCGCCACCACCGCCCCCUG
rnacentral:lncRNA from 1 species